UACGUAGGGUGCAAGCGUUGUCCGGAAUUAUUGGGCGUAAAGAGCUCGUAGGCGGUCUGUUGCGUCGGCUGUGAAAACCCGGGGCUCAACCCCGGGCCUGCAGCCGAUACGGGCAGACUAGAGUUCGGCAGGGGGAGACUGGAAUUCCUGGUGUAGCGGUGGAAUGCGCAGAUAUCAGGAGGAACACCGGUGGCGAAGGCGGUUCUCUGGGCAUUACCUGACGCUGAGGAGCGAAAGCAUGGGGAGCGAACAGG
rnacentral:rRNA from 1 species